UACGUAGGGUGCGAGCGUUAAUCGGAAUUACUGGGCGUAAAGCGUGCGCAGGCGGUUCGCCAAGUCAGGUGUGAAAUCCCCGGGCUUAACCUGGGAAUUGCGCUUGAAACUAGCGGGCUUGAGUGUGGCAGAGGGGGGUGGAAUUCCACGUGUAGCAGUGAAAUGCGUAGAGAUGUGGAGGAACACCGAUGGCGAAGGCAGCCCCCUGGGUCAACACUGACGCUCAUGCACGAAAGCGUGGGGAGCAAGCAGG
rnacentral:rRNA from 1 species